UCCUUGUUAGUAUAUCGGUUCAGUACACGCGCUUGUCAUGGAAUUGGGAUCACUACUCCCGCGCGAGAGCUGGGUUCGACUCCCAGACAGGGAG